rnacentral:rRNA from 1 species
UACGUAGGGGGCAAGCGUUGUCCGGAUUUAUUGGGCGUAAAGCGCUCGCAGGUGGUUCGUCGCGUCGUGCGUGAAAGCCCCCGGCUCAACUGGGGGAGGUCGUGCGAUACGGGCGGACUGGAGGCCAGUAGGGGGAUGCGGAAUUCCGGGUGUAGUGGUGGAAUGCGUAGAGAUCCGGAGGAACACCAGCGGCGAAGGCGGCAUCCUGGACUGGUCCUGACACUCAUGAGCGAAAGCGUGGGGAGCGAGCCGG